CCGACACCGCCAUCGCCUCGGAGGGAGAGGAAGCCCAGCAUGUUCGAGAGGGAGGCAACCUUCAGUGAGGACGCGACCUGUCCGAGCGUGGGGAGCUGUAGAGCCCGUGCUGAGACGGGCGUCUGCUCCGGGACUGCCGGUCUGCUCGUCUCAGGUCUCCUCCCCCCGCUUCACGGGACCCGCCGUUCCUGCCGUGCAGGACUGAGAGCAAAGUGCUAACGUCGGCAGAUCCUGCAAGGCUUCAAGAACAAAACGCCUCGGAGCAUGUCGGCUCUGAGACAGCGCCGCGAUGUCCCGUUUUCCAGAGGAAGGAACAGAGCGGCUUCCCGCCAGCGGAAGGAAGAGCAGAGCGAGGCUGCAGACCUCCGUCUGUUGAAGGUGGAGUUGGUGCCCCCAGACGCUGUGCUGUGCAGCUCGGCCCUUAGCGGCAGGAGCCCCACCACGCAGAAGCCCGUACACACGGACUGUCUUUGAGGAACAUGUCGGAAAAACACUUGGACGUUUGUAACAGUUUGAAAAGACCUUUUUUUAGAAUCCAGUAUAUAACGUGCAAAACGUGUGCUUGUUGGCUCUUUGUAUUAUUGGUUUCUGGUCAACAGACUAGUUAAGUUUCAGGAGACUCAGAAAUCACACACAGUUGUUUUGUUUUUGCUUUUUUACUGGAGGGGGUGAUCAGUGCUUCUAACCUUACUGUUCUUUAAGGAUCAACAGUGUUGGUAAUAAAUCUGUUUUAUAGAUAUAUCACCAGCAGUAAGGAAGGAUUUAUGUGUUUUGAAUACACACGCACGCUUGGUGUAUAGACCGUAGUCUGGGAAUAAAGGGACAUGGACCAAGGCCAUUUUUGCUUAGUUGACAUGGAUGUGAUCAAUCACAGCUGUCUUUAAGAUCUAGACUUCUAGGGACACCUAGGGGGUCUCAGCUGGUGAAACGUCUGUCUUUGGCCCAGGUCAUGAUCCCAGGGUCCUGGGAUUGAGCCCUGCAU